GGCGGGGCUUUAGUUUUCUACUGAAACACAGAAGUGUGCAUUAACAAACCUUCGGAUUAAAUGCUGUUUUUGCCUUGUCGGACAAUGUAGGAAAAGACUGAUGGACAAGUGUUAAUUCCAUUACACUGCCUAUGAAGGCUGUCCUAAUGCAUUUCCUGAACCUGCCUUCAUGCCACAGAAGUCAUUGCCUCGUGAGCCGACGAGGCAACAAAUCAUGUGCCUUGGGUUUCGGAUGCAGCCCUUGUGUCCUAUCAGGUCUGCACUUCUCUUCUCCACUUUUUGGCUAACCCAGGGGGACCCACAGGCUGAGGUGAGGUUCUCCACCCCCCUUCCAUGUCAAUUUCAGCCUCCAGCCCUGGCCAGCCAGUCAAAACCCUGUGUUUGUCCGGGUGCCAACUUCUGAAGGUAAACAACAUGCACAAGGGCGCAGAGGUCAGACUGCCGGGCCGCCUGGACAGAGGCGGCUUUUCCCCUAAAGACAGAUCCUGUCAGGGUCUGAGCUUGGCCUGUCUGUAGCCCGCAGAGGCUCGGUACCCUCCUGUCACUGUGGCUGACAUCACGUCAAGCGCCGGGCCUGCAGUUGUCAUGCAGUAGUGCUGCUUCCCGUCUCAAGACAUGCAUCUUAGAAUUCCAUAGCCGUAUCCUGUUGUGUGCGUGUGUGUGUGUGUGUGUGUGUGCGGCUGAAGAAUCUCACUGCAAUUUAAAGGCGUGCUGUCAGUGAAAUGCUGUUGUAAAUGCUGAACAUGCUGAAGGCUUGAAUACUGAGUCUGCCUACAUAAGGAUGUGUGUAGAAAUGAUGACAAGAAAGUGUAAAUUAAUAAAUGAGGCCAACCCUGCUGAAAAAUCCAGCUGGAAGUCAUAUUUUGGAACUUAGAGGAUGCUUUCUAGCUGAAAUAAAC